rnacentral:rRNA from 1 species
UACAGAGGGGGGCAAGCGUUAUUCGGAAUUAUUGGGCGUAAAGGGCGCGUAGGCGGCUUGGCAAGUGGAAGGUGAAAUCCCUCGGCUUAACCGAGGAACUGCCCUCCAAACUGCUUCGCUUGAGACCGGGAGAGGUGAGUGGAAUUCCCAGUGUAGCGGUGAAAUGCGUAGAUAUUGGGAGGAACACCAGUGGCGAAGGCGGCUCACUGGACCGGUACUGACGCUGAUGCGCGAAAGCGUGGGGAGCAAACGGG